GAUGAAGAACGUAGCGAAAUGCGAUAAGUAAUGUGAAUUGCAGAAUUCAGUGAAUCAUCGAAUCUUUGAACGCACCUUGCGCUCCUUGGUAUUCCGAGGAGCAUGCCUGUUUGAGUGUCAUUAAUAUAUCAACCUUCUCUUUUUUGAGUUGUUUGGAUGUGGGGGUUUGCUGGCCUCUUAAAUGAUUCAGCUCCCCUGAAAUGCAUUAGCAGAACAACCUGUUCAUUGGCGUGAUAAUUAUCUAUGCUAUUGAAUGUGAGGGCAGUUCAGCUUUCUAACCGUCCUUGGACAAUUCAUCAUUAAUGUGACCUCAAAUCAGGUAGGACUACCCGCUGAACUUAAGCAUAUCAAUAAGCAGAGGA
rnacentral:misc_RNA from 1 species